ACCAGUUCCUGGCGUCCCGACCUGUGUCGGACCCGAGGCCGGACCUGCCGUUGCGCAGCCGACGCCAGCCCAGGGCCUGGGAGGAGCGAGCGCACCCGGGCCCCCGCCGCGGGCACCAUGGGCGCUACCCACUCCGCGUCCGAGGAGGUGCGGGAGCUCGAGGGCAAGACGGGCUUCUCAUCUGACCAGAUCGAGCAGCUCCACCGGAGAUUUAAGCACCUGAGUGGAGACCAGCCCACCAUUCGCAAGGAGAACUUCAACAACAUCCCUGACCUGGAGCUCAACCCGAUCCGAUCCAAAAUCGUCCGUGCCUUCUUCGACAACAGGAACCUGCGCAAGGGGCCCAGCGGCCUGGCUGACGAGAUCAACUUCGAGGACUUUCUGACCAUCAUGUCCUACUUCCGGCCCAUCGACACCACCAUGGAUGAGGAGCAGGUGCAGCUGUGCCGGAAAGAGAAGCUAAGAUUUCUGUUCCACAUGUAUGACUCGGACAGCGACGGCCGCAUCACCCUGGAAGAGUAUCGAAAUGUGGUAGAGGAGCUGCUCUCCGGAAACCCCCACAUCGAGAAGGAGUCUGCGCGCUCCAUCGCCGACGGGGCCAUGAUGGAGGCGGCCAGCGUCUGCGUGGGGCGGAUGGAGCCUGAUCAGGUGUACGAGGGCAUCACUUUCGAUGACUUCCUGAAGAUCUGGCAGGGGAUAGACAUCGAGACAAAGAUGCACGUCCGCUUCCUUAACGUGGAAACCAUCGCCCUGUGCCACUGACCGCCCCUCCCCCACGGAGAGCCCGGGCAGCGAGGCCCCCGGGGGCCCUUUUGCUGCAGCUCUUGUAAACAGUCAACAUCCCUCGCUCACCUCUUUUUCCCGCAGGCAGGUGUCCCGAGGGCGGCAGUGGAGCUGGGAAACCCUCAUCAUUUAGACAGUGAGAGCUGGCGCGGGCAUCC